rnacentral:rRNA from 1 species
AUUGAACGCUGGCGGCGUGCCUAACACAUGCAAGUCGAGCGGUAACAGGUGUAGCAAUACAUGCUGACGAGCGGCGGACGGGUGAGUAACGCUUGGGAAUCUGCCUGUUAGUGGGGGACAACCCGGGGAAACUCGGGCUAAUACCGCAUACGCACUACGGUGGAAAGCCGGGGACCGCAAGGCCUGGCGCUAACAGAUGAGCCCAAGUCGGAUUAGCUAGUUGGUAGGGUAACGGCCUACCAAGGCGACGAUCCGUAACUGGUCUGAGAGGACGACCAGUCACACCGGAACUGAGACACGGUCCGGACUCCUACGGGAGGCAGCAGUGGGGAAUAUUGGACAAUGGGCGAAAGCCUGAUCCAGCGACGCCGCGUGGGUGAAGAAGGCCUGCGGGUUGUAAAGCCCUUUCGGUGGGGAAGAAAAGCCUCGAGUUAAC